rnacentral:rRNA from 1 species
UACGUAGGGGGCAAGCGUUGUCCGGAAUCAUUGGGCGUAAAGAGCGCGUAGGCGGCCCUGUAAGUCCGCUGUGAAAGUCAAGGGCUCAACCCUUGGAUGCCGGUGGAUACUGCAGGGCUAGAGUCCGGAAGAGGCGAGUGGAAUUCCUGGUGUAGCGGUGAGAUGCGCAGAUAUCAGGAGGAACACCGAUGGCGAAGGCAGCUCGCUGGGACGGUACUGACGCUGAGGCGCGAAAGCGUGGGGAGCGAACAGG